AUGGAGGGGGCCCGCGGGGUCCUGAGCUGUUUCCCCAGCAAAUUGCAGUGGGGAAGUCGGGGGGAGAAAAGCUCCAUAUUGGGGAGAAACGGUACUUUUUGGGGUUCAUCGACUCCGGCAGGGACCUGGCAGGGCCGAUUUUCCCGAGGGAUGAGCGAUGGGAUCCCAUGUCUCGUCCAAACUCCGCGGCGCUUUGGUGUCCGCGACGAGGGUUUUUUCCCGGCGCCUUUCUCCUCCGUCUCUGCAAAAAUCCAACCUCUUUUUUUUUGUCUCAUUUUCUCCUCUUUUUAUAUUUCUUGUAGGUUUUGCCGGCAGUCCCCGGCCGCCAACCCUCCCGUGUGCCGGCGCCGUGUUUUUUACCGAGUGACACAGCACAAUCGGCGAGGGAUGGAGAAAGCUGUCCCCAAUUUCUCAGAGCGCCAAGGAGAUGGAGGCAGAGCCCUGUUAAUGCCACCGGAGCCCAACCAAGAGACUUUUCCUGCCCUUGAGGGCCCCCAAGGCGAAGAACGAAGAGCCGCUUUCCUUCAAGAUGCCAAAAAGCCCCCGGAGAACCCGGCUUUAUCUGGGACGGCGGUGGAAACGGAGAGGGAGCUGGAGGAAGAGGCUUUUUAUGCCGCCGAGGGUCUGGGGACAAUGAGCAGGGAGGGGAAGGGACCUUCCGGCUCCGAACUGCGCCCGUUGCAAGAGGACCCUGAUUUCUUCUCCUCCCUCUCCCGUCAGGAGCCUGAUGUGGCCCUGGAAGCGCGCGAGGUGGCCGAUGAGCCCGAUCCUGCCCUCUCCGGUGCCGUCCCGGCUCUCAGGACCCAACUCGGGUAAGUUCCCGGGGGGGACGUGGCAGAGUGGGGAGCACCCGGGAGCCCCAUCUCCCCCUCGUUAACAGUGCUCCAGUUACACGAAACCCCGAAAUAUCUCCCCUGGCUGUCCCCCAAGAGGGUUGUCCCACCAGCGAGGACGUCAGCAGGUCCCUCCAGAGCCGGCCGGCACAGUGCCCUCGCUGCGGAGCGGCGUGGGAUGCUCUAAUUCACCUCGUUUGUUC
rnacentral:lncRNA from 1 species